CCCAACUCUUCUAUAAUGGGAAGGUGGAUUAUUUUGACCUUCAGUGACUCAGAGGUCUUCCGUCUCAUCUCAAGAAGACUCUGAAAGCUCAUUAUGGUGUGUGGUGGGGACAGCGGAGACGUGCUGAGCAGAGUCAGGUCUCAGUCCCUCUUUUUCUAAGAACUCUGACAGACGUCAUCAAUGGCCUCAAGCAUUUC